CACGUAGGGCGCAAGCGUUGUCCGGAAUUAUUGGGCGUAAAGAGCUCGUAGGCGGUCUGUUGCGUCCGCUGUGAAAACCCGGGGCUUAACCCCUGGCUUGCAGUGGAUACGGACAGACUAGAGGUAGGUAGGGGAGAAUGGAAUUCCCGGUGUAGCGGUGAAAUGCGCAGAUAUCGGGAGGAACACCGGUGGCGAAGGCGGUUCUCUGGGCCUGACCUGGACGCUGAGGAGCGAAAGCGUGGGGAGCGAACAGG
rnacentral:rRNA from 1 species